GGAGAGAAAAUUACUGAAUUAUAUUAGCAGUAUAUGGUUGGUAGUGUAUGAAAUAGCAAACAUAAUAAAAUAGCUACUAGUAAUUGCCUCCAAGAAGCAUAAUAAAAUUGCUAACAUUAACAACUAUUUAAUUUUCACUCCUGAAGAUGGAGACCUUCAGAAUUAAUUUGCUCCUGUCAAUCAGCUCAAAUAUGCAAACAUCGUCCUCUUUUAGAAAAUUUUCCUUUGCAAAUCGAAUCCAUCCACCAGUGAGUCUGCUACCCGAGUAUGUUAACAUGGCAUUCCAUGAUCUAUCUUCAACCUGAAGAGUAAUAGUAUUCUUUUCCCAGUGCUUCGAAUGCAUUCUUGCAAAUCUUGUCGGUAUAUGCAAAUAUAGAUACAGAUAAGAUGCCUUCAUAACUACUUUGAAGAAUGGAUUCUUUGAGACAAAUUUUCGGGCAGAUUCACUGGUUAUACGAAUACUCGAACUUGGAGUUGUCUUCUCAUGUGUCUUCUGCUCCUUACCUAAUGAAGAGUCAGAAGGUCUAUCUUCAGCAACUCUAAAAAUAUGAACUUUAAAACUAAUCUCAGCACCUUUGGCCGGGAUCAAUUCAAAGACACAUACAUCGUCAAUUUCCAAGUGAUUGUCUUUUGCAAAAGUUCUCCAACCUGACUUCAGUUUUACUCUUGUUCGGCCUUCCUCCUUAGCAUACUUGAUCGGCCAAAUUUUCCCACCAAAAACAAAGUGCAUCACAGAACCUUCACCGUUAAGCAAAUAUUUCCUGGAAAACGUUUCUGGUAGAUUCAUUUUAUUCCCAGCAGGAGGGACAUAUGAAGGUCGCAUAUUUAUCACCAUAAGUGGAUUUUUGGAUUUGAAAGCUGUAGCUCUCUGAAAAGUUUUCUCAUUUUUAGGUCUUCGCAAUGGUUGCUCCCUUUCCUGACCACUUUUUGUUGGAUUAGGAAAAUCAACAUCCAUGGCUUCAGCAGAGAAGCCAUCUUCUGUUUCCUCCCUUUUGGGCUCUUGAAAUUUGAAAUCCAUGUUCCUGAGCGGAUAAUCAAUCUCUGUUGCAGUUUUACUAAAUAUGACUACAGAGAACUGGGAAUUCCCCUCAUACGUAAAAAGCAGCAAAUGUGCUAAUUUCACAGAGUAAUAAUCUACAAAUUCUUGCCAACCUUCACUCAACCAAACAUCACAGCAAACAUAACAACCCUUAAACAACUCUAUUUUCCAUGAGGCACCAUCUGGGAGCUUAAGGAUUGCUUGGUUUGAUAGUGCAUUUCCAUAUUUUUUCACAAAACUUCUGGGGAUCUCAAGUUUCUUAUCUCUUACAGUGUCCUCAAGUAUUAUCUUGAAGAAACGGAUUUUCUUCGGUUGAAGCAAGGAACUCUCGUGUAUUUGGGAACAAAAAGCCGCCAUGUGAAAGUGAAACGCACUGAACAAUUUACAACUAGUUCAUGGCACUAGCUCAAAGCGAGAAAGUGAAACACAACGAUAGCUUCGACGGUCAAUGAUGGACUGGAAGGUGAGUCUCUGGCAGCAAAGAAUUUGUACUUUGGAGUUUGAGAACGAAAUCUCCUUUGCCCUCUGGACUCUGAA
rnacentral:misc_RNA from 1 species